rnacentral:rRNA from 1 species
UACAGAGGGUGCAAGCGUUAAUCGGAAUUACUGGGCGUAAAGGGCGCGUAGGUGGUUACGUAAGUGAGAUGUGAAAUCCCCGGGCUUAACCUGGGAAUGUCAUCUUAUACUGCGUAGCUGGAGUGCAAUAGAGGGUAGUGGAAUUUCCGGUGUAGCGGUGAAAUGCGUAGAUAUCGGAAGGAACACCAGUGGCGAAGGCGGCUACCUGGAUUGACACUGACACUGAGGCGCGAGAGCGUGGGGAGCAAAC